rnacentral:rRNA from 1 species
AUACGUAGGGUGCAAGCGUUAAUCGGAAUUACUGGGCGUAAAGCGUGCGCAGGCGGUUGUGUAAGACAGAGGUGAAAUCCCCGGGCUCAACCUGGGAACUGCCUUUGUGACUGCAAGGCUAGAGUACGGCAGAGGGGGGUGGAAUUCCGCGUGUAGCAGUGAAAUGCGUAGAUAUGCGGAGGAACACCGAUGGCGAAGGCAAUCCCCUGGGCCUGUACUGACGCUCAUGCACGAAAGCGUGGGGAGCAAACAGGAUUAGAUACCCUGGUAGUCCACGCCCUAAACGAUGUCAACUGGUUGUUGGGUCUUCAUUGACUCAGUAACGAAGCUAACGCGUGAAGUUGACCGCCUGGGGAGUACGGCCGCAAGGUUGAAACUCAAAUGAAUUGACGGGG